GACGAACGCUGGUGGCGCGCCUAACACAUGCAAGUCGAACGGAGUUGUGUUGAAAGCUUGCUGGAUAUACAACUUAGUGGCGGACGGGUGAGUAACACGUGAGUAACCUGCCUCUCAGAGUGGAAUAACGUUUGGAAACGAACGCUAAUACCGCAUAACGUGAGAAGAGGGCAUCCUCUUUUUACCAAAGAUUUAUCGCUGAGAGAUGGGCUCGCGGCCGAUUAGGUAGUUGGUGAGAUAACAGCCCACCAAGCCGACGAUCGGUAGCCGGACUGAGAGGUUGAUCGGCCACAUUGGGACUGAGACACGGCCCAGACUCCUACGGGAGGCAGCAGUGGGGGAUAUUGCACAAUGGGGGAAACCCUGAUGCAGCGACGCCGCGUGAGGGAAGACGGUUUUCGGAUUGUAAACCUCUGUCUUUAGGGACGAAAAAAUGACGGUACCUAAGGAGGAAGCCACGGCUAACUACGUGCCAGCAGCCGCGGUAAUACGUAGGUGGCAAGCGUUGUCCGGAAUUACUGGGUGUAAAGGGAGCGUAGGCGGGGAGACAAGUUGAAUGUCUAAACUAUCGGCUUAACUGAUAGUCGCGUUCAAAACUAUCACUCUUGAGUGCAGUAGAGGUAGGCGGAAUUCCUAGUGUAGCGGUGAAAUGCGUAGAUAUUAGGAGGAACACCAGUGGCGAAGGCGGCCUACUGGGCUGUAACUGACGCUGAGGCUCGAAAGCGUGGGUAGCAAACAGG
rnacentral:rRNA from 1 species